GUACACUCCUGCGGGAGGCAGCAGUGGGGAAUUUUGGACAAUGGGCGAAAGCCUGAUCCAGCCAUGCCGCGUGCAGGAUGAAGGCCUUCGGGUUGUAAACUGCUUUUGUACGGAACGAAACGGCCUUUUCUAAUAAAGAGGGCUAAUGACGGUACCGUAAGAAUAAGCACCGGCUAACUACGUGCCAGCAGCCGCGGUAAUACGUAGGGUGCAAGCGUUAAUCGGAAUUACUGGGCGUAAAGCGUGCGCAGGCGGUUAUGUAAGACAGUUGUGAAAUCCCCGGGCUCAACCUGGGAACUGCAUCUGUGACUGCAUAGCUAGAGUACGGUAGAGGGGGAUGGAAUUCCGCGUGUAGCAGUGAAAUGCGUAGAUAUGCGGAGGAACACCGAUGGCGAAGGCAAUCCCCUGGACCUGUACUGACGCUCAUGCACGAAAGCGUGGGGAGCAAACAGGAUUAGAUACCCCUGUAGUCCCAUG
rnacentral:rRNA from 1 species